rnacentral:lncRNA from 10 species
CUGGGCCAGACUCAGUCUUUGAGUCGCCUUGUGCAUAAAAUGGGAUGAACUGUGAGGCCUAAGUGCGAGUAUGUGACUGGUACCUUACCCGGGCCUGGUACACAGUAGGGGCCUCAGGGUGGGAGAAGCAGGUCCUAGGUUUUCCCAGCCCCAUGAAGGGGCAGCAGGAAGAGCAGAAGGAGAGCCCAGGGUCCCUUCUGGGGCUGACCAAGGAGAUCACCAUGGGCUUGACCUUCAGGGCACCAUAGUUCCUGCUAGAAUCUAGGCAGGGUGAACCGGACGAGCUGUAUCGUCGCUGAGAGAAUCAUGCAGCGUUUGGGCAAGAAGAGAGGUUGGGAAUCCUCCUUGUGGUACAUGUCGGUGACCCUGAAGCCCAGAAAGGGAAAGGGUUUUGUUGUCAGACACGCAGCAAGGCUGCAGAGGCUGGACUCCUACUGAGGUCUUCUUGACUCCCAGCCCAGGGAGUGAGAAGAAAAAGCCUCCCAAGGGGCUGGGAUAUGAGAGAAAAGCCCCCUCCUGGGGUGAGGCACUGGGGCUUUCUGCCUUGAAGAACCCUGGAACACGGGCCUGGGACUGCAGCAGGUGCAGGGGAGGCUCCUGAUUGUCCCUUCUUUCUGUCCACAUCAUGAUUCCCAGGCCUCUGCUUCACUCCCUCAUUGCUGAUUUCUUCUUCUCUUCCCAAUACAGUUGUAAGAUGCAUAAGGCAUUUAUUGAACUCUUGACCUCAGAUGAUCUGCCUGCCUCGGCCUCCCAGAGUGCUGGGAUUACAGGCCGGGUGAGCCACCGCACCCGGCCGCUUAAGGCAUUUAUUAAAGAACAUUUGGAGUUUCUUUUUUCUUUAUUGUGUAAAAUAUACAUAACAAAAUUUUACCAUUUUAACCAUUUUUAAGGAUACAAUUCAGUGGCAAAAGUACAUUCACAUCGUCGUGCAGCCAUCACCACCAUCCAUGCAACAGGACUUUUUCAUCUUCCCUAAAAGAAUGGAAUUUCUUAUUUUUAACUGUAAAGCUGAAUUGAAUAUUUUACAUGAUUUUUGGAAAAAAUUCUUCCCAAAUUAACUGCGAGGUUAACUGCUUGUGGCCUGUAUUUUUUUUUUUUUUUAAAGAAAGGGUCUUAUUCUGUUGUUCAGGCUGGAGUGCAGCAUUGCAGUCUCUACCUCCCUGGGAUCAUGUGAUCCUCCCAUCUCAGCCUCUCAAGUACCUGCUACUACAGGUGCACGCCACCAUACCCAGCCUGUACUUCGUUUCUGAGGAUCAAGACCUCACAGACCGUGUGUGUGUGUGUGUAUUUGUGUGUGUGUGAGUCCUAUUUGGGCCCCGCCUUUCAGCCCUGUCUUGCAGCCCAAACUCCAGCCACAGCUGUGGCCCCGUGCAGCUCAGAGGAAUCAGGUUGGCUCAGGGGCUUUUCCUGCUUUAAGGCAGAGGGUGAGAAGGCUGUAGCUGGGCCCGGCUAACAUCUCACCUGCUCCUGGGUCAAGAGGUGAUAUAGUUGGAGGUCAGACCAGGUUGAGCCAUUUCCUGGGCCAGGAGUAUCUUAUAGCAUGGCACAGAACACCAGGAGGCCUCACCUUCUUCCUGCUCAGAAAAGCCCACUCCUUGUCUCUGGCCCUGUGCCAGGCACUCAUCUGUCCUUUAUUUCAUGCCUGGCCCUCUAGGCAAUGUUGGAGUCCAAGAGGGUAGGGGAUGGAAGUGGCUGAGUCAGGAUUUGAACCCAGGGCAUGGUGUUUCUCAACAGGGUUGGCACCGGGAUUCUUGUUGAGAUGAUUUGUCACUGGGUAGGACUGUCCUAUGCAUUUUAGGUGUUUGCUAUCCCUGGCCCUGUCCCCUGAAUGCCCAGGUGUCCUGCAAUCAUUGUGCUAACCAGAAGCAUCCCAUGUAUUCCUAGUGGUCUCCUAGGGACCAGGAGGAAAGAGACCUGAAAGGGGUACUUUGAGGCUGUACUGCCUUUCUUGGCAGGAGGCCUGAGGCCCCCCAGUCCUUGAGUCUCAGCUGUGAAGCAGGGUGCUCCCCAGUGUCUCGGCUGGGACCUUGAACAAAUCAUUGAACCCUCUACCGCCUCUGUGCUCUCCCCGGGCACUUUGAGGACUCAGCCGACUCUACAUUUUUAAGCUUGCAGUUGAAACGUUUGCAGCCAUCGGGAUACAAGUUGUUAUAGGGACCAGCUGUGAUGACAGAAGUGGGAACACUUUGCAGGACUGUGGCUGUUGCUCAGCAGCCUUGGAGUCAGGAGGAGAGAUGAAAAUCAGAAUUGAGGGUGCUUCUGGGUGAGGGACACACCCUAUACUCUUCGCAUACUCUGCACUGGAUCCUCACGGAACCACAAUCUGAGUGAAAGUGACACCACAUGACUUCUGAGACUUGGCCCUAAAAGGUGACACAGCUUCCAACUGGCUGACCUGGGACAGUCACUUUUGGAAUCCAGCCACCAUGUGGGAGGCAGCCUGGGUCACGUGGAGAGGCCACAAAUAAGUAUUUGCCAUCUGAGGUCCCUGCUAUAGCCAUAAGCAACCAUGUGAGAGUCGGAGUGAGAAGCACCCACACUGAGCCCAUUAACCACAGACUGCACAAGAGAAAUCAAAAUGAUUUUCUUUCUUUUUUUUUAAAGAGAGGAAUUUCUCUAUGUUGCUCAGGCUGAUCUUUAACUUCUGGGCUCAGGCAGUCCUCCCGCUUCAGCCUGCCCAGCAGCUAGGACCACAGGCACACAUCAACCCACCCUACUAAUGUUUUUUAAUUCUUUACUUUUGGUAGAGAUGGAGUUUCACCAUGCUGCCAGCCUGGUCUCGAACUCCUGGGCUCAAGUGAUCCUCCCACCUUGCCCUCCCAAAGUAUUGGGAUUAAAAGAAUGAGCCACUGUGUCUGGCCAAAAUCGCCAUUGUUUUAAGGCAACAAGUUUUGGAGAGAUUUGUUAUGCAGCAGUCUGCUAACCGCAAUAGAGGAGCACACAGGGGCUCAAUUUGACAGGUAGUGACUUGCCAGAGGACUCAGCUGAUGUGUGGCAGGACCAGGCAGUGAAUCUGUGUCUUCCGAACUCCAAAUCCCAUCUUUGCCCUGACCCUGAACUUCCUCCUUUGGUUUCUGGGAUGGCUCUUACUCAGGGAGGGUCCCCUUUUCCCUCCCCACCCAGCAGUGGCCAGGAUGAAACCACAGCCAGAGGUGCCCCAGGGGCAGUCCACAAGGACAGGCACACCCAGACACGCACUUGUGGUUUAUUACACACAGUGAUCUCCAUCUACACGGAAAUGGAAGGCAAGCAGCCAGGAUGGAGCUGGUUGCUGGGAACACUUGCUGG